CCAAAUAGACUGAAGGCUGUUUAUAAGUUCUGGAUU
rnacentral:scRNA from 1 species